rnacentral:rRNA from 1 species
UACGUAGGUGGCAAGCGUUAUCCGGAAUUACUGGGCGUAAAGCGCACGCAGGCGGUCUUUUAAGUUUGACGUGAAAGCUCCCGGCUUAACUGGGAGAGGUCGUUGAAUACUGGGAAGACUUGAGGCAAUGAGAGGGGUGUAGAAUUCCCGGUGUAGUGGUGGAAUGCGUAGAUAUCGGGAGGAACACCUGUGGCGAAGGCGGCUCACUGGACCGGUUCUGACGCUGAUGCGCGAAAGCGUGGGGAGCAAACGGG